AGUCCACUAAAUUUCACUAAUGGUUAGUAAAAUGUUAUGUGUUGAGACUUUAUGAACAAAUUACAUGCAUUUUUGCAUGUAAUUUGGUUAUAAAUAAGCGACACAGUACUCAGAGAGUAUAUUUUCACAAUAUUUCUUGUACUUGGAGUCAUUCACAAAAUACUUUAUUUUUAUUGGUAAAAUCACUUACGUUGGUGGGUGGAAAGCAUGUUGAAGAUCAUGCGGUUCAUGGAUUCAAAAGGAGACGUUAAAUUUUAAACGCAAUUUUAGAAACUCUUUUCUUUAUUUGAAAACAUUUAGUGUAACAUCGGACAUUUUUAGUUGUUUCUCUCAACCUAAUUGCCAAACUUCAUUAAGUUUUCAAAAUUUUGGUGUUAUUUUUAUUGUAGUUUUCAAAAUUUUGGUGUUAAACCCCAUCAUUUUACAUGUAGUUCCCCAUCCCUAUUCUCCUUCACUCUUCCUCUUGCUCGUGCCCUACUGCCGCCGCCCUCUAUAGCUACCUUCCUUUCGCAGUCUACGUCAACUGGUCACGACGUCAGUAGCCCUCAUUGUCGACCGUCUCUAUCUCCUAUUGAAGCCGAAGCCCAGCCAAAGUGUUCGUCAUUGGUCUGCAUCGUCUCUAUGUUUGUGAAGCUGCCAUCACAUCUUCCUACUUUGUUGAUCGCUCGAGCCACUCCGUCCCAAGUCGCCCACCUCACAUGCUACUCGCGUUCCAUCGUUAGCUAAGCCGCCACAUACCCAUCUACUUCCCUCGCGUCUGACAACCGCUCAUCAUGGAGUGCCAUUACCGCAUUAUUUAUCCAACGAUCGUGAAGCACCGUUGUCGGUUCUCUGUCGUGAAUGCAAUCCUGACCCGAGCUAAAGACAUCAGAUCCAAACCGCGUGAUUUCUCCUUUCCCAGUUGCUGUGUUGCAAGUUGAUCCACGCUCUCUUAGUUCAUGUGUUGUUGCCUCUGCCUUGUUAUAGGUUCGCUUGGUAAGGUGAUAUUGGUGAAUUGGUGCUAAAAUCCUUGAGUUUCACGGUAAGCUUCGUUGGAAGUCGAUUCUCCAUUACUUGGGUAAGUGUCAAAUUCACAUUUGGGUAAAUUAGGUAGAUAAAAUUAUUUGAAAAAAAUGUUGAUUUUCUAUGUACUUAUGUUUAAGAUUUGGCUUGUUGGAGUUAGUUUGAUUAAGUAACUUGCAUAAAAAUUUAGGUAAGGGGUUCCUACUACUUGACUCUAUAAUGAAUUUGGAACGUAUUGAUUGCAUGGAUUUUACUAAACUGGGAUGAGUUGACUUGACUGAUAUGUAGAUUUAAAUGUGAUGACUGAUUGGUUGUAUGGAUUUUACUGAACUGAGUGGGUGGGUUGACUGAUAUGUAGAUUUAAAUGUGAAGAUUCAUGACUAGUAUGGUCGACUAAACUAUGAUGCACUAGUGUUUAUUUUGACAGGCCAUGUGUAGAAAAGGAGAAAUGCCGAAAAGGAGAAAUGCCGAUAGUUUUUAAUUGUGUUUUGAUGUGAUUGUUAUGAACUAUGUGAAUCGAAUUGGGAAUUUUUUUUAGCUUUAUCUAUGGGGUAGUGUACCUUGCAGGUGUCCUAGGGAUCACCACCUGUUGUGCAUCAUUCGGAAACACUAGACUGAUAGGUUCAUCAUUCGGUAGCACUAGACUAAUAUAGGUGCAUCCUUCGAGAAUACUAGAUUGAUAUGUGCAUCUUACGGAGCACUAGAUUGAUAUGUGCAUCCUUCGAGAUCUGUGAUGCAGGGUACCUCCCGAUAGGAAGUUAACCGUUUUUACCCCUAAUGGGACCAGUAGUGGGUCCCUUACUGGGUAUAUUUUAUAUUCACCCUUUAUGUUUAGCUUUUUUAGGCAAAGGUAAUACGAGAAACAGACGGGCGAGGGACAAGAAGGACUCGUGACCGCCAUAUGAGAUCCUAGCUUUUUCUUUAAAUUUGCUUUCGCUUAAGGUCUUCAAUUUUUUUUUGUUGAUUAAACUGAGUUUAUGGUUAGUGACUUUGUAAACUGUGCCUUUGAAAUUUUAUUUUGUUUGAAAUA